GUUAAUGUUGUAGUUUUAGUGCCAACCACAGAGUGUGCGGUGAUUUGUGAUGGUAAUUGAAAAUGUGGUUGUGAUAGGCGUAGGAAUUGAUUACUAUGAUGCGAUUAUUUCUUAACAGUAAUUCAAGUUUUUUGGUGAGUAUGUCACUGGACGAGUCCCCAUUUAUUUAGGAAUUAGUAUCACCUGUUUGAUCUACAGUAAUUUAGGUUUUAUUGUGGAAUAUGUUCAAACAAGUUUGUAUAAUGUGAUUGAUAUGAAUUUGAAUGUUUAGGAUUCCCUAGUGUAUUAUUGCAACACAGCCUUGACAUUUAAUGAUUAGUUUAGUUGUGCAUUGCUUACAUUGAUACAAUUUUGGUAAAUAUGCAUGAAGGAUGCUUUUUGUUCAAUCUUGUGAUAUUUGUGAUUAUAGAGUUAUUUUGACUGGAUUUGGGUAGUAUUCUGUGCUUUGCUUCUGUUGUGUUAUUAGUGUGAUUGUUUCUUUUUUAAAGAUCACAGGAAUGUUUUUGUUCCUCCUGGUUUUUUCUUCACCCUGUUGAGGACAUUUGUUUGUUUCCUUUUUUAUUGCAGUUCCCAUAGUAUCUUUUAUUUGAUAAUUUCUCUAGUCCAAUAACCAAUUUCAUGAACCUUAAUAUUGCUGUCUUAUUGGGUGUUCAGUGUAUUAUUAUGCAAGAUUCAAUAUUAAUUUAUUACUGGAUGUUCCUUGCCAGUUUUAUUUUCAUGUUAUCUUAUCCUGUCUUCAUUUGCAACUGAAAAGCUAGUUCGAAGAUCUAUAUGAUCAAUUCUGAAUUGAAUUCUUUCAAUUUUGGUAAGAGCUGACUGGGUUUUUGUAGUUGAUUAUUAUAAUUCAAAAUUAUUUUUCAUCGACUAUUGUUUUGGAUGGCCACUAGUCCAGGUUCUUGAAUUGCUUUUUUCUCUAUAAAAUGACAGCAUAAAUUCCUCUUUAACCCAAAUCAAUAUCAUUAAUGCUCAAUGCCUUAGGUAUACAAAUGUGUAUAUAUGUAUAAGAGAAAUUUUAAUUGAAUUAAAAUAUAUCAAUCAGAAUUUUGUUGCUAUAGAUGAGAAUGCUUGAUUUUUUUUUUCUUACUUUUGGUAAUUGGAAUGAUGUGGUACAUUUUAAGAUAAUAUAUCAAUCAAAAUUUUGUUGCUGUAGAUGAGAAUGCUUGGUUUUUUUUUUUACUUUUGGUAAUUGGAAUGAUGUGGUACAUUUUAAGAUGUGGCUUGCAAAUGAUGGAAAUUAUAUAGAGCUUAGAUGGCUUACAACUUGGAAACAAAGACAACAAAUUGAUGACUUUCAAUUGCCAUUUGAGAUUUUCAGGGUUGUGCAACAAAAGUGAGCACCAUUUUGUUAUGACUUCAUUCAAUUUCUUGAUGCAUAUGUCCAAACUUAACUAAUAUGUUGAAAAAAUAAUUUCUUUAAGUUCUUACUUGAAAACUUGAUUAUGAGAUUGGAUUCAUAGUUGAGUUGCUCAUUUUAGUUUGAAACUUUAUGAAGUUAAGAAUAAGUUUUAUACAACAAUGCUUGUGGUUUAAGACAAUUAAAAAAAACUGCACUCUAUAUGUUUUGUGAAAUGCCUUGGAGACAUAACACUUGGAUGAAAUAAUCUUUAUGCAUACGAGUUUGAAAGUUAAUUGCCUAAUUGUAUAUCUUUGCAGAAAGCUCCAAUUGAUCAUUUCACUCGUGAAAGUUGCAAGCCAUCUGCAUCUCAAGGUGUUCCACUUGGAGGCAUGGGAAGUGGCAGCAUAUCUAGAGGUUUUAGAGGUGAAUUCAGGCAAUUUCAAAUUGUUCCUGGUUUAUGUGAGGGUUCUCCAGUCAUGGCCAAUCAAUUUUCUGUAAAAAUCUUCUCUUCAUCUAUACUCAGUUUUCUUUAUUUUUUAUUUUUUAAGAAAUAAAAAUUUCAAUAAUAUCCAGUACGAUAUUAUUGUGAGGUAGUGGGUGAAUGCCGCUUUUUAUGUAAAAGUAACGUGAGAACUGUGGAGUUGAUGGAAUUCCACUUGAUUUAAUUAUUUUAAGUGUAAAUUUUAUAUCAGACCAAAUAUUGUUGCUGAAGUUGAACGUAGAUGUAUUUGUUGCUAACAAAACUACUUUUCUUUAGAAAGAACUUCAAUAUUUACUACGAGUGUUCUAAAUGGAAGUUGUAAUAUGUAGCUGAGAUAGGUUCACAGAUUAAUGAGUGCAACAAUGGCGCCUGGAAGUUAUACUAGUUGUUAUAGUAUUGCUGCUAAUUUUGGUUUGGAAAGCGAUAGUAAAGAAUAUUCAUGCAACGAUUAUGACGAAGAUGUUGAUUCAACAAGUCAAGUGCAAAAGAAAAUCUAAUUUGGAAGGCUUUGGUGUGCUGACAUUUGGAAGAUCGUGAAUUCCUACCUUUACUUUUGAAUAUGCAACAGUUUAAGACUAUUUUGUUGACUAUUGUGAAAAUGUUUUGUUUAUGUUAAUUAGGCAGUGUUGAAUAUCUUAAGACUUUGUAUUAUUUUUUUAUAUAAUCUUGA